AGCAGCCAGGCUGGAGAGGGGAAGGGGAAGUGCUUGCAGAUGCUGUGUGUCAGCUGGUGGGAACCUCCCUCUCCUGCCUGUUCAGAGUCAUCAAGAUCAUGAACUGGAAAAACAAGAAUGUGCCUAUACGGCAGGAGGUUUUGCAGUAGGAAAAGGAAUCUUUUCUUGGAGUCUGGUGAUCCAAAAUCUUUAACCACAGGAGCUACUCUCAAGCUCUCUGUUUUGUGCUCCCCUAACUAGGACAGAGGGCCCUCCAAGAGGAAGGAUGUUGGUGGAUAUGAAUAUGAGUGCUCUCACUGCAAAGAGUCACAGAAUCACAGAAUAUUCUGAGUGGGAAGGGACCUACAAGAAUCACUGAAUCCAGUUCUUAAGUGAAUAGCCCAUACAGGGAUCAAACACGACCUUGGUAUUAUUAGCACCAUGUUCUAACCAAAACCAGGGAGAAUCGAGUACUGUGCGGUGCUAGAAGUGGGACCAGUGGAUUGUAGAAAGCUGUUCUCCCUUCUGCUUGACUCUGCUGAGUCCUCAUCUGAAAUGAUUUGUCCAGUUUUAGGUUCCCCAUUUCCAAACGGAGGAGAACUAAAAGGCGAGAGUCCAGCAGGUGGCUGGCAAGAUGAACAAGGGACUGGAAAACUUGUGCUGUGAAGAGAGUUUGAGGGUAUGGUUAGUUUGAGGGGAAAAGGGCUAAUGUACAUGAGGGGCAGCUACAAAGACAAUGUGCCAAGCUUUUUUCAUGAGCAGCAAAUAACCACAGAUUGUUGCUUGAAAAUCUCCACUUGGACACUAGGAAAAUUCUCAGACAUUAGGAAAAUUCUCACUUAGAUAUUAGGAAAACUCUUGACUAUUGAGUAAUGAAGAAAUGGCACAGGUUACCCAUAGAGUUUCUGGAAUCUCUGUCUGAAAAGCUUGGCUCACCAAAGCCAUGACUAAUUGGACCAACACCAGCAAUAGAUGUGCUGGAAGUGGGAGACUGAACUGAAGAGCUCCAGAUGGUCUGUCACAACAGCAGUUCUGAGGCUUUAGUGUAGAGGUUUCCUCAUCCAUCCAAAGCAGACAAUUGCUCAAAGCUAAUCAGAAAAGGCAUCGCAUCUUCACUCUUGUGCUAAGAAAACAGAAUUUCCCUGGGUUCUGAAAAACAGUAUUUCUCAAGUAGACAACUGGGUAUGAGUCUUUGAUUCCACUGCUUUGUUGGAGACAGUUAAUUUCAUGCAACUUGCCAAAGCAAAUCCCUCCAGAACACCAAUUCCAUAAUAUUGCUUCUUAAGUACAUCAUCUGGAAAUAUCCUCAGCAGCAGGAGGCUUUGGUUGCUUUCAGUCCUUGAAGAACAGCAUGACGUGCAGGCAGAGUCAGAGAGCUGUGGAGCUCACUGGGGCAGCAAAAUGCAUCCCAUCACAUCAGCAAGGAGUUCCACCAGAAAUAGCAUGUGAGGAAAGGGGGUUUUCAGCCAUUUUGAUCCAAGCAUUGGGACCAGCCUGUUCGCAGAGAGAGAGCUGGAAAGUGGCUGAGCUUGAACAGGUUUAUGAAGUAGAUUAUUGCACUGGGUAACCAGGCAUUUGACAUGGUGGAGUAGGAUCAGUGACAUGGCCUAAGAGCAAAGCAGGACUUGGGAUUCCAUCCUGAAGCACAGCACUGUGCCAUGAGCUGCUGAGAACAAGGUGCAGAAAUUCCCCGGGGAAAGAGCUGCUUCCAGGCAACAGGAACUGAAACAGAAGUCAUCCCACGGGAAAGAAAAAGAGCAACACACCUAGAUAUGUCCCAAUGGGUGUGAAAACUAACAUUCAAUUCUGAUUCCCCAAAAUCACAAGCCCAUAAUAGCGGAUGGAGGCCUGUCUUGAAAGGAUCAUGGUGUGGGGACAGUUUUUGGGGAAACUAUGGCUAGACUGACUGAUAAGGUUUAUUAAAAUUCCAGAUUUCUCAGACAAACCGAA